rnacentral:rRNA from 1 species
CCUACGGGUGGCAGCAGUGGGGAAUAUUGGACAAUGGGGGGAACCCUGAUCCAGCCAUGCCGCGUGUGUGAAGAAGGCCCUCGGGUUGUAAAGCACUUUCAGUGAGGAAGAACGCCUGGUGGUUAAUACCCAUCAGGAAAGACAUCACUCACAGAAGAAGCACCGGCUAACUCCGUGCCAGCAGCCGCGGUAAUACGGAGGGUGCGAGCGUUAAUCGGAAUUACUGGGCGUAAAGCGUGCGUAGGUGGCUUGAUAAGCCGGUUGUGAAAGCCCCGGGCUCAACCUGGGAACGGCAUCCGGAACUGUCAAGCUAGAGUGCAGGAGAGGAAGGUAGAAUUCCCGGUGUAGCGGUGAAAUGCGUAGAGAUCGGGAGGAAUACCAGUGGCGAAUGCGGCCUUCUGGACUGACACUGACACUGAGGUGCGAAAGCGUGGGUAGCAAACAGGAUUAGAUACCCUUGUAGUC